rnacentral:rRNA from 1 species
AUUAGAUUCUCGGCGUACCGCUCAGUAACACGUGGGUAACUGCCCUAUGCUGGAUAAUAACCUCGGGAAACUGAGUAUAAUGAUCCAUAGUUCACUACGCCUGGAACGGUGAGUGGAUGAAAGCUCCGGCGGCAUAGGAUGGGCCUGCGGCGUAUCAGGUAGUAGGGGGUGUAACGUACCCUCUAGCCCUCUACGCGUACGGGUGUUGGGAGACAUAGCCCGGAGAUGGAUUCUGAGACACGAAUCCAGACCCUACGGGGUGCAGCAGGCGCGAAAACUUGGCAAUGCGAGAAAUCGUGACCAGGGAACUCCAAGUGCAUCGGGUAAGACCGGUGCUUUUCUUGACUCUAAAUAGGUCUUGGAAUAAGGGGUGGGUAAGGACGGUGCCAGCCGCCGCGGUAAUACCGGCGCCUCAAGUGGUAGUCGCUUUUAUUGGGCCUAAAACGUCCGUAGCCGGUCUGAUACAUUCGUGGGUAAAUCAACCAGCUCAACUGGUUGAAUUCUGCGAGGACGGUCAGACUUGGGACCGGGAGAGGUGUGGGGUACGCUCAGGGUAGGGGUAAAAUCCUGUCAUCCUGAGCGGACCACCUGUUGCGAAGGCGCCACACUAGAACGGAUCCGACGGUCAGGGACGAAGCCUAGGGGCACGAACCGGAUUAGAUACCCGGGUAGUCCUAGGUGUAAACGCUGUGGACUUGAUGUUGGGGGUGCUCCGAGCACUCUCAGUGUCGAAGCGAAGGUGAUAAGUCCACUGCCUGGGAAGUACGGUCGCAAGGCUGAAACUUAAAGGAAUUGGCGGGGGAGCACCGCAACCUGAGGAUUGUGCGGUUUAAUUGGAUUCAACGCCGGG